CUGAAGACACUGGAGAGCCCUUGAGGACCACUGGCCUGACAGUGACGACUAGAGGCAAACAGAAGCAAGUCCAAAAGGGAGAUAGAAAGAGAAGGAGGAGAGCAGGGUCUGGCUCUUUUACCAAUUUGGACUUGAAAAAGAAAGAGAAGAAAAGAAAACACACCGCGUAUUCUGAGACAUCUAACCAGCCUUUCUGUGUUCCAUGAGGGAAAGGGAAGUCGAGCUGUUUUGCAAUAAUUCCUCCAAGUCUUCAGACUCUGGCAGCACAAGAAAAAUACUAAGGAGCAGAGACCACACCUUUCCCACAUUGAGUUCAGUGGAACAUGAACUCAGCUGCCUGCGUCGUUCUUCAAAGACACAGCUGCAGGAUAGCUUCAGCUGCACUGGUUUGGAAACCCUCAAAAGUGGGCCAAGACUCUUAGGCUGGUUUCAGCACAGUUGUUAUUCCUAGCCCCGCCCACAGGAAAAGGGCAGGUCCUGAAGACUGUUGUUGUAGAUAUUGGAUAGGAGAACAAACCAAGAUGGUGGCACUGGCCAUUAUAGGUGGAAUGCAUGGGGUGACUUGGCCUUCCCUGCCUCCUGGCCCCUCCUUUGUACACCUUCUCUCCCAAGCUCAAAGAUGUGUAUUGUGCUAGGAGGAAAAUUACAAGAGAGUUUGGCUUACUUGUUACUGGGGCAACACCUACAAGACUAACUGCAGCGAAGGUGGGAAAAGGCCUAGAAAAAUCUGAUGAUGUAAACAGUUUGAGAGCUUCCAGUGAAACCUGUCUCGCAGGGCCAGUGCCACACGUUAUACUCAGUUCUUCACUCUCAACAGAGAAAAGGGCCUUCUGGUUUGCUGUUUCCUCUCUCUAGUCUUACUCUUUUUGUAUCCUGGAGGCCUCCAAUUGUGGGGGAAGGCAGAAUUCUCCCCACCCCCACCUUUUCCCCUCCUGGUUCUUAUGACUGGUCGAAUAAUUAAACUGGCAUAGGGCAGGUUAGCAGGAGAAAAUUAAACCACAUUUAAUACAUAUGCACUGGGAAUUCACAUAAGCAUGAAGAAUUCCAAAGACAGUCAGGCAAAAUGAGGUAGAUAUGUCUUUCUGGACUAAGGAGAAGGAGAUAGAGUUCUGAAACUUCAAAGGGAGAGAAGGCAAUUUACAGAAAGAUGGAAAGAGUUAAUAUUUGGUAAACAAAUAUUUGCUGGGCCAUCUACAGAUGAUGGGACCCAAGGAGAGAACUUUGAUAAAAUGGGCCUUGCUAGGUGCCUUUCCAUCUCUCACACCUGGUUCAUAUUAUACUGGAGUUAUCUAAGGUGAUAGCUCCUUCCUGGGACAGGCCUUUCUAUCAAAUUCUUUUAGGUAAUUAGGGGGAAGGUCAAAGGUUCUUCCCGAGUCUUCUGAUCCUUGAUUAUUUUAAGCUCGAAAUAAUCCGCAUACCAGAGUGGCACAUUCUGGGUUGGCCUGCCCUCAACCCCAUCACAAGCCUUAUCCUGGAGAGAACACAUUCACCCAUCUGAGCAAUAAGUGCUAUAGAAACACUUGGGAUGCGGAUGUUAUGUUCUUCGUUUUGACUGGCUUCUUUUUAACUUGCCCUCAGCAUGAUUUCACUGCACUCUUUAUUUGCAGCUGCUUUAAGGAUGUCAAGCUGGGCCUCCGUCCCAUAAUUCCUCCAGGUGAUUUAAAGGUGACAGUCUCCCAGGAAGAAGCUUUCCUGUCUGGGACUUCCCACCAGACCUCAUUUCCGAGCAUUGCUGCAGUCCUGAAGUGAGACCCUCCAGUCUGGACUUGCCUGAGACAGAUGGAGGCUGGGCCAGCCCUACCUGCCCUGCUCCUGCUCAACCUGUAUAUCUCCUCCUGCUGUAAUUGCAUAUCCUGGAGAACAGCCAGGAUCUUCCUGCAGAGCCAAAGCCUCAGAGGGAAUUUC
ensembl:lncRNA